rnacentral:rRNA from 1 species
UAAGAGUUUGAUCCUGGCUCAGAUUGAACGCUGGCGGCAGGCCUAACACAUGCAAGUCGAGCGGAUGACGGGAGCUUGCUCCUUGAUUCAGCGGCGGACGGGUGAGUAAUGCCUAGGAAUCUGCCUGGUAGUGGGGGACAACGUUUCGAAAGGAACGCUAAUACCGCAUACGUCCUACGGGAGAAAGCAGGGGACCUUCGGGCCUUGCGCUAUCAGAUGAGCCUAGGUCGGAUUAGCUUGUUGGUGAGGUAAUGGCUCACCAAGGCGACGAUCCGUAACUGGUCUGAGAGGAUGAUCAGUCACACUGGAACUGAGACACGGUCCAGACUCCUACGGGAGGCAGCAGUGGGGAAUAUUGGACAAUGGGCGAAAGCCUGAUCCAGCCAUGCCGCGUGUGUGAAGAAGGUCUUCGGAUUGUAAAGCACUUUAAGUUGGGAGGAAGGGUUGUAGAUUAAUACUCUGCAAUUUUGACGUUACCGACAGAAUAAGCACCGGCUAACUCUGUGCCAGCAGCCGCGGUAAUACAGAGGGUGCAAGCGUUAAUCGGAAUUACUGGGCGUAAAGCGCGCGUAGGUGGUUUGUUAAGUUGGAUGUGAAAGCCCCGGGCUCAACCUGGGAACUGCAUCCAAAACUGGCAAGCUAGAGUACGGUAGAGGGUGGUGGAAUUUCCUGUGUAGCGGUGAAAUGCGUAGAUAUAGGAAGGAACACCAGUGGCGAAGGCGACCACCUGGACUGAUACUGACACUGAGGUGCGAAAGCGUGGGGAGCAAACAGGAUUAGAUACCCUGGUAGUCCACGCCGUAAACGAUGUCAACUAGCCGUUGGAAUCCUUGAGAUUUUAGUGGCGCAGCUAACGCAUUAAGUGACCGCCUGGGAUACGCCCC